GGCCAGACUCCUACGGGAGGCAGCAGUGGGGAAUAUUGCACAAUGGGGGGAACCCUGAUGCAGCGACGCCGCGUGGGCGAGGAAGUAUUUCGGUAUGUAAAGCCCUAUCGGCAGGGAAGAAGAAAUGACGGUACCUGAAUAAGAAGCACCGGCUAAAUACGUGCCAGCAGCCGCGGUAAUACGUAUGGUGCAAGCGUUAUCCGGAUUUACUGGGUGUAAAGGGCGUGCAGCCGGGCUGACAAGUCAGAUGUGAAAUCCCGCGGCUCAACCGCGGAACUGCAUUUGAAACUGUCAGUCUUGAGUACCGGAGAGGUCAUCGGAAUUCCUUGUGUAGCGGUGAAAUGCGUAGAUAUAAGGAAGAACACCAGUGGCGAAGGCGGAUGACUGGACGGCAACUGACGGUGAGGCGCGAAAGCGUGGGGAGCAAACAGGAUUAGAUACCCUGGUA
rnacentral:rRNA from 1 species